rnacentral:rRNA from 1 species
CAUGCAGUCGAGCGGAACGAGUUAUCUGAACCUUCGGGGAACGAUAACGGCGUCGAGCGGCGGACGGGUGAGUAAUGCCUAGGAAAUUGCCCUGAUGUGGGGGAUAACCAUUGGAAACGAUGGCUAAUACCGCAUGAUGCCUACGGGCCAAAGAGGGGGACCUUCGGGCCUCUCGCGUCAGGAUAUGCCUAGGUGGGAUUAGCUAGUUGGUGAGGUAAGGGCUCACCAAGGCGACGAUCCCUAGCUGGUCUGAGAGGAUGAUCAGCCACACUGGAACUGAGACACGGUCCAGACUCCUACGGGAGGCAGCAGUGGGGAAUAUUGCACAAUGGGCGCAAGCCUGAUGCAGCCAUGCCGCGUGUGUGAAGAAGGCCUUCGGGUUGUAAAGCACUUUCAGUCGUGAGGAAGGUAGUGUAGUUAAUAGCUGCAUUAUUUGACGUUAGCGACAGAAGAAGCACCGGCUAACUCCGUGCCAGCAGCCGCGGUAAUACGGAGGGUGCGAGCGUUAAUCGGAAUUACUGGGCGUAAAGCGCAUGCAGGUGGUUUGUUAAGUCAGAUGUGAAAGCCCGGGGCUCAACCUCGGAAUUGCAUUUGAAACUGGCAGACUAGAGUACUGUAGAGGGGGGUAGAAUUUCAGGUGUAGCGGUGAAAUGCGUAGAGAUCUGAAGGAAUACCGGUGGCGAAGGCGGCCCCCUGGACAGAUACUGACACUCAGAUGCGAAAGCGUGGGGAGCAAACAGGAUUAGAUACCCUGGUAGUCCACGCCGUAAACGAUGUCUACUUGGAGGUUGUGGCCUUGAGCCGUGGCUUUCGGAGCUAACGCGUUAAGUAGACCGCCUGGGGAGUACGGUCGCAAGAUUAAAACUCAAAUG